GAUGAAGAACGCAGCGAAAUGCGAUACGUAAUGUGAAUUGCAGAAUUCAGUGAAUCAUCGAGUCUUUGAACGCACAUUGCGCCCCCUGGUAUUCCGGGGGGCAUGCCUGUCCGAGCGUCAUUGCUGCCCUCAAGCACGGCUUGUGUGUUGGGCCUCCGUCCUCCUCCCGGGGGACGGGCCCGAAAGGCAGCGACGGCACCGCGUCCGGUCCUCGAGCGUAUGGGGCUUCGUCACCCGCUCUUGUAGGCCCGGCCGGCGCUUGCCGACACAUCAAUCUUUUUUCCAGGUUGACCUCGGAUCAGGUAGGGAUACCCGCUGAACUUAAGCAUAUCAAUAAGCGGAGGA
rnacentral:misc_RNA from 1 species